GAUGAACGCUGGCGGCGUGCCUAAUACACGCAAGUCGAGCGAACAGACGAGGAGCUUGCUCCUCUGACGUUAGCGGCGGACGGGUGAGUAACACGUGGAUAACCUACCUAUAAGACUGGGAUAACUUCGGGAAACCGGAGCUAAUACCGGAUAAUAUAUUGAACCGCAUGGUUCAAUAGUGAAAGACGGUUUUGCUGUCACUUAUAGAUGGAUCCGCGCCGCAUUAGCUAGUUGGUAAGGUAACGGCUUACCAAGGCAACGAUGCGUAGCCGACCUGAGAGGGUGAUCGGCCACACUGGAACUGAGACACGGUCCAGACUCCUACGGGAGGCAGCAGUAGGGAAUCUUCCGCAAUGGGCGAAAGCCUGACGGAGCAACGCCGCGUGAGUGAUGAAGGUCUUCGGAUCGUAAAACUCUGUUAUUAGGGAAGAACAAAUGUGUAAGUAACUAUGCACGUCUUGACGGUACCUAAUCAGAAAGCCACGGCUAACUACG
rnacentral:rRNA from 1 species